rnacentral:misc_RNA from 1 species
GCAUUAAUUAAUCCAUAAUUAGCCUAAUUGUAAUAGUUUUAAGACAAAAGUACAAAAAAUAAGAUCAGUUAGCCACCAACUGAAUCUCAUAUGUGACAAACUUCUGGGUUCUGCAUUUAUAUCAGCAAUUUGACAAUAAUACAACAACCCUAACACAAAUUUAGAUUCAAAUUAAAACAGUUAAAAAAAGGAGUUCAUAUUGUAAUUUCUUACAAAUACUACAUAUAAUAUCAUGAUUUUGCUUCACUUUCUUUCAACAAAUCUAUACACAGAGCAACCACUUCUUUUCAAUAUAAUACUAGUAAUUCCAACUACUCUUCUUCUUCUUUUUCUUCCACUCGACAAUCGCUUUCUAAUGCCUGCCCACUCAGUUUCAAUAAUUCCACAGACAGGCAAGGUCUACUGACCCAGCUAAUGUAGAAGGAGCCUCUUGAUGAUCAUCAAAUGCCCUCCUUCCUAUUUCAAUAUUUGAAAUGACAGAAGAGAUUUCAGUGUUCUUAUCCGUGGUUAGGCCUGUUUCUUGUGAGGCACUGACCAUCUCCCUUUCUGUUUUGAAACUCUGCUUCCAGUUUGAUCCUUGGUUCUCAAACAAAGCCCUUAAAAUUGAGUGGUCUUGCAUUAAAACAGAACCUGGGUACUGUAAAUUUGCUGAGAAUGGGACAGCAUGAGUAGAGUAGAAUGAAUUUGCAAGUGGAAUCCGUGGAAAAACAUCUGCAGGGUUGGAAGAAACUGCAAAAAGAUUGUUGUUGAAACUAUCAAUGGAUUCUUGUUGAUUUCUUUGAACAUCAAUGGGAUUGGAGAAGCAGGGCACGUAGGAAGAUUCUGCUAAAGGUUUUGUCUUGCCACUGUAAAGUGAAGAAUCCAUCAGUGGUGGUAGACCCGCAGGAUCCAAUUCAUUGCCAAAAGAGCCUAAUCUCACUAGUCCUGAAAUAUGGAUUUUCUUCCCAGCUGAACUCUUUUGAAACACCCUGCAAAUCACCCAUUCAUUCUACAAAACAAGAGGAAAAAAAUUCAGUAUCUUCACAUGAACAAAAACGAGAGAAAACACAGUUAACAAAGAGGAAAAAAAAGAAGAAGUGAAAAACAGAGGAAACAGAGUAGAUAUGUGCACCUUAGCCGUUUUAGGGAGAUUGUGGACAGAGAAUUUACCCUCCAGUCUGUAUUCAUGCAUGACCCAGUUGCUCUUCUCUCCUUUAGGGGCUCUACCCUUAUAGAAAACAAGGGUCUUUUUCAUUCCAAUCAGGGAUUUUCCCCUGUAGAUCUCCUUAUCUUUCCCUGUGGCUUUCCAGUAACCAGCUUCAGUUGCCCUAUUCGUCCUGAGACCAGUUGGGUACUUUCUGUCCCUCACACAGAAAAAGUACCAUUCUUUCUCUCCCAAUUUCGCUUUCCAUGGCAAUUCCCAGGGUUCAGACUUGUUCAAAUCUACAUCUCCAAUAGCUCUAGACGAGAAGUUGAUAUCAAGAACCUUCUUGUAUAGGUAGUGAGAAAUAAGCUCUUCAUCAGUUGGGUGGAAGCGGAAUCCAGGGGGCAAAUCCAUCUGAUCAUGUUCCUUAACAAGUUCAGAAAUGUUUUCCAUUGCUUGAGAAGCUAAAACCAUAUUGUUUACUAAUGUAGAAAACUUUUAUUUCACGGCAACAGAAUCCCAAAUCCAAGCUGAAAAGCUCAAAUCUCAAGACGAAGACAACCCCUUAUAUGAGCUCUAUAUAUCAAAUGGAUAUUAACCAAAUACCUCUAAUUCUCCAUGUUCAAGGAACCUGAAAGUUAGAGAGAUAUUAAAAGAAAAGGCACUACGGAGGAGCAUAAGGCCCUAAAUACUGGUGUCCAUGGCAAGCAAUAAAAGUGGCACGUAAGGCAACUUUGGUAGGUUGUUUUAGCUUCUGUCUAUCAAUUUAUAAUUAACUUUUAGUGGGUAGAAAUUAUAGUUUCUCAACUCAUCUAAAUUUCAUCUUUGAUGCAUGUAAAUCUCAUAAACACCCAAUUUAUUAUAUGUAAAAAAAUAAUUAUCAUUAAGAUAAGACAAACCAAUUAUAUAUAUUUGAAAUGCUUAGGAGAAAAAAAGAAAAGGGUUUUCCAAAACUAAAA